rnacentral:misc_RNA from 1 species
GAAAUGCGAUAAGCAGUGCGAAUUGCAGAAUUCAGUGAAUCAUCGGAUUUUUGAACGCAUAUUGCGCUCUCGGGAUACGCCUGGGAGCAUCUCUGUUUCAGCGUCUUUAAUUGAUCUCAUAAACUCAAACUUGCUUUGAGCUUUAUGGAAAUUGAGUGUUAUGUUCUUUAUCAGAGCAUAUCACUUGAAGAGUAUGGCCAGGGGACCACGCAAAACGUGUCUCUCUUAACUCAGUGCAGUAGUCACACCUAGUGUGAAUCUCGCUGGGAUAAUAGCAGACCGUGUGGAUUCUGUCUGGCAUAACUUAAACUUUCAACCUUAGACCUGAAAUCAGAGAAGAUUACCCGCUGAAUUUAA